rnacentral:rRNA from 1 species
GACGAACGCUGGCGGCGUGCUUAACACAUGCAAGUCGAACGGAAAGGCCCUGCUUUUGUGGGGUGCUCGAGUGGCGAACGGGUGAGUAACACGUGAGUAACCUGCCCUUGACUUUGGGAUAACUUCAGGAAACUGGGGCUAAUACCGGAUAGGAGCUCCUGCUGCAUGGUGGGGGUUGGAAAGUUUCGGCGGUUGGGGAUGGACUCGCGGCUUAUCAGCUUGUUGGUGGGGUAGUGGCUUACCAAGGCUUUGACGGGUAGCCGGCCUGAGAGGGUGACCGGCCACAUUGGGCCUGAGAUACGGCCCAGACUCCUACGGGAGGCAGCAGUGGGGAAUAUUGCACAAUGGGCGCAAGCCUGAUGCAGCAACGCCGCGUGCGGGAUGACGGCCUUCGGGUUGUAAACCGCUUUCGCCUGUGACGAAGCGUGAGUGACGGUAAUGGGUAAAGAAGCACCGGCUAACUACGUG